UGGUGAGGGCGCCCGCGGUUCGCAAGCCGCCUUCUCAGCAGCGAUCGUGGGGGAGAAACUCGUGAUCGUGUCCUCCUCUCCCCCUCCUUCCCUCCCUCCCUCCCUCAUUGGAAGUCGAGGGAUGCUUUGUGAGCAGGGUUAGGCGGCACUCUUCGGAAGAGAAGCGGAGCCUAUGCGCUUUAACCGAAAGCAGGCAGGAAUUCAGCCGGUGAAGCUUCCUCCGCCGUUCAGCUUGUUAAUGUCAAGAAGGGGGUUUUUUUUGCCCUUGGUUGCCGGCCUCCCUAACGAUCGCAGCGUGCCUUGUUUGUGCUGCAAUCCUAAAGAGCGACGGUUGAAAAACUGGUUUGAGCCAAGCAUUUUAGGGAAAGGCGCAGAUUUUGCUGCUUGUGCGAAGUGACGAAUAGCAGAGCUGGGCAGAAAUUAGACUUGCUAGUAUACAGAUACGGAAUUGAAACUGCAGGGAAGAAGGAAGUGUUUCUGCUUAUCCCAUCUUAAAUUACUCAUCUUAAAAAAAAAUAAUAAUAAAGAGAAUUAGACUUGGUUAAUGGCCAAACUGAAAAGUUGAAAAAACAUCUUGAAAGAAAGCAGUGGCAAGCUAUAGCAAUACUAUUGCAAAGAAAGUUCCUUGGAUAUGCCCAUGUAAUCCGGAGAAAUCCAACACAAUUUGUCUUUACUUUACUUGACAUGCCAUGCUUCCUGAUGGUGAGAUCAAAUCUCUGAUUUACCUCAGACUGGAGAUUCUAAUUCUGAAUUUUUAAAAAUUUGGCAGCAUGAAUGAGAGCAAAAGCAAAUCUCUGGGAGAACAGAGAGAAGGAGUAACCGCUGACCAAGGAAGAAAGAACUGGCUUUUACGAGGUAAAGGAGAAGCAGAGGCAAUUCUUGUUUCAGGAGUCUUGUUUAUUUCUAUAGAAAUACGUAAGCGUUUAGAUAAAAAUUUGCUAUUAGCAUUUUGAUUUGAUAUGAGUGAGCUAAAUCUUUAUUGUAAUCUUGUGUUUAUGUCUCUAAAUAAAAUGAUUAAUGUAUAAUUCC